rnacentral:rRNA from 1 species
UACAGAGGAUGCAAGCGUUAUCCGGAAUGAUUGGGCGUAAAGCGUCUGUAGGUGGCUUUUUAAGUCCGCCGUCAAAUCCCAGGGCUCAACUCUGGACAGGCGGUGGAAACUACCAAGCUGGAGUACGGUAGGGGCAGAGGGAAUUUCCGGUGGAGCGGUGAAAUGCGUAGAUAUCUGGAGGAACACCGGUGGCGAAGGCGGCAUCCUGGACCGGCAUUGACGCUGAGGCGCGAAAGCCAGGGGAGCAAACGGG